CAGAUGAGAGAGAAAGAAUUCUUGAGACGUCUUUGGUGCAAAAUGGUGGUUUACUAAAGCCCGGGGACGGGACCCGUGAGCAGGAAGAGCUGCGGCCCGGGGAUGUGAGGGGUGGUCUGUUACAUACUUGUAAGUUGGGGAGGGGAUUAGGGAUGGCCUAAGUCUCUAAGGAAUUUUGGAAGCAAGGUUUCUAGGACCUUGAG